rnacentral:lncRNA from 1 species
AUGGGGAAUGUUGUCCUGCUUCUGAGGUUCAGAUAUACAACUCAACCAUGGGCAGCUGAGGAUGGACUUUCUGCCUCGAUAGGUUUCUGUGGACAAAGACAUAAUUUUGAGCUGCCAGCAUCCCCAAAGAUGUCAGAAAUGUCAUUCACCUG